UUGAGAGUUUGAUUCUGGCUCAGAACGAACGCUGGCGGCAUGCCUAACACAUGCAAGUCGAACGAAGCCUUCGGGCUUAGUGGCGCACGGGUGCGUAACGCGUGGGAAUCUGCCCUUGGGUUCGGAAUAACUCGGAGAAAUCCGUGCUAAUACCGGAUGAUGUCGUAAGACCAAAGAUUUAUCGCCCAAGGAUGAGCCCGCGUAGGAUUAGCUAGUUGGUGGGGU
rnacentral:rRNA from 1 species